AUUGAACGCUGGCGGCAUGAUUUACACAUGCAAGUCGAACGGUAACAGGCCGCAAGGUGCUGACGAGUGGCGAACGGGUGAGUAAUGCAUCGGAACGUGCCCAGUCGUGGGGGAUAACUACUCGAAAGAGUAGCUAAUACCGCAUACGAUCUAUGGAUGAAAGCGGGGGACCGUAAGGCCUCGCGCGAUUGGAGCGGCCGAUGUCAGAUUAGGUAGUUGGUGGGGUAAAGGCUCACCAAGCCAACGAUCUGUAGCUGGUCUGAGAGGACGGCCAGCCACACUGGGACUGAGACACGGCCCAGACUCCUACGGGAGGCAGCAGUGGGGAAUUUUGGACAAUGGGCGCAAGCCUGAUCCAGCAAUGCCGCGUGCAGGAAGAAGGCCUUCGGGUUGUAAACUGCUUUUGUACGGAACGAAACGGCUCUGGUUAAUACCCGGGGCUAAUGACGGUACCGUAAGAAUAAGCACCGGCUAACUACGUG
rnacentral:rRNA from 1 species